rnacentral:rRNA from 1 species
UAGGGAAUCUUCGGCAAUGGACGAAAGUCUGACCGAGCAACGCCGCGUGAGUGAAGAAGGUUUUCGGAUCGUAAAACUCUGUUGUUAGAGAAGAACAAGGACGUUAGUAACUGAACGUCCCCUGACGGUAUCUAACCAGAAAGCCACGGCUAACUACGUGCCAGCAGCCGCGGUAAUACGUAGGUGGCAAGCGUUGUCCGGAUUUAUUGGGCGUAAAGCGGGCGCAGGCGGUUUCUUAAGUCUGAUGUGAAAGCCCCCGGCUCAACCGGGGAGGGUCAUUGGAAACUGGGAGACAUGAGUGCAGAAGAGGAGAGUGGAAUUCCAUGUGUAGCUGUGAAAUGCGUAGAUAUAUGGAGGAACACCAGUGGCGAAGGCGGCUCUCUGGUCUGUAACUGACGCUGAGGCUCGAAAGCAUGGGGAGCAAACAGG